rnacentral:rRNA from 1 species
UCGAAAACCAUUGAGCGUGAAGGAGUAGCGGUAACAGUAUUAAAUACUCAGACUAAUGAAUUAAAAGAAUUUACUAACCAAACUGAAGCAGGGCAAUUUUUAGGUGUUUCAAGACAAGCUGUUUAUAAUGCAAUAAAAAUAAAUAAACCUAUUAAUAAAAUAUAUAUUAUUUCAACUAAAUAAAGUUCUCCUUACUAAUAAUUUCGCGCUGCUCACCAAGAUACAGCUGUACUGCAGUACUGAGGCCAAAAGAUAGAAAAAUAGAAUUAUUUUAGUUUUAAUCAAUAAAACUGAAACAGGCUUUGAGCCUAUUAUUAUCUAAAUGGAUAGUUAUUUAAAUAAAGAUAAGUAACUAUUUAGGGAGAAGUACCUAACUCUGCUCUUUUGUAGAGCUAAAAGGUAGAUCUGUGCAUGUCGAGAGGGAAACAGCCCAGAACAAGAGUAAAUAUAAGGUUCCAAAAUUAUUGUUAAUACGAAGUGAAAUGAAGAGAGUUUUUAUCUAUUUCGAUCAGGUGAUGGGCUUAGUGGCGGCCAUUUUUUAAAGACCUCGUAAUAGAGUUACUGAUUCAAACACCGGAAGACCUCUGGUGGAUAGAGACACCUAAAAUAUAUCGGAUCAAAACAAUAUACCGACACCUUGUCCAUAAUUAUAAUUGGUAUCCAUAUUAAAAGAUGGUCUGUCUAAUUUAAUUAUGGGGUAGCGGAACGUUGGGUAAUAUUAUUAAAUUAUUCUUUUUAAGAAUAAAAACACAUUAACCCAAGUGAGAAUGCUGACAUGAGUAACGAAAAAGGAAAAUUUUCCUCGCCUUAAGCUUAUGGGUUAUAUAAAGUAACGGCCUCUAAGUUAAUUGACCUAAUGGUCUAAACGAUGAAAAAUUCUAGGUUUAUUGCGACAACCUUAUAUAAGUGUGUAAGUGUUCUGGAAAAGCAUAAACAAGGUAAGGUAUAAAAGCGCUAUAAAUUAGUGUUUACCUAAGCCGAUGAAAAUACCGUACCUAAGUACCAAGAGGUAAGCUAGUAGAGAAUACGAAGGCGCUUGAGUGAACAAUCAUUAAGGAACUCGGCAAAUUAACUUCGUAACUUUGGGAGAAGGAGUGCCGACCCUGCCGUUUAAUAUCGGUUGGGGUAAGGAAGCAUAGAAUCGUGUUGUCCGACUGUUUAAUUAAAACAAAGCACGCUGCAUUAAGAUGAAAGUCUAAGUAUAGAGUGUGAUGUCUGCCCGAUGCCGGCUGGUUAACGGAGUUUCUGGACUGCAUUUGAUUUAUAAGUGUUGGUCUGGUUUUGAAGGAUACCCCGGUUAAUGGCGGCCUUAACUAUGAGGGUCCAAAGGUAGCGAAAUACCUUGGCUACUAAAUAUAGUCUCGCAUGAAUAUGAGUUUAAGCAACUCGUUUGAUUAUAAAAUUUAAUUUAUUAAUUUUAUUUUAUUAAAAAGAUUAGGAAAAUAAAAUUUAUUUUAUUAAUUUUAUUUUAUUAAAAAGAUUAGGAAAAUAAUAAAAUAAAAAUAAAAAAUAAAAAUAAUCAAAUUUAACGUGCUAUAAAAAAGCAAAUUCCGGGAACACCCUAAAACUUUAAUACCUAAGUAUAUUGUAAACAUUAUAUAUGGCUUCAGUUAAUGGCUGGAGGUAUGGUAAUAUAAUUAAAGAUAAAUGAAAAAAAAUGGGUUAUCGCGGAUCUAAAACAAACAGGGUUAUAUAUUUGAAUUAUUACUGAUUGUAAAAGAGCAACGAGCAGAUGCUUUUUCCAUUUUAAUAAUGGUGAGGUGUGCUCUAGUCACCAUGAAAAUGGCUCUUAAAAAAAGAUAGAGUAUUUUAAGAUUAAAGAUAAUCACAAUAACCAAUAAUAUAAAAGACUUAUUGGUAUCGCUGAAUUAGGCGACGCUUUUUCUAAAGAUAAUAUCUAAGAAUAAAUAUGUGAUACGGAAUGAUGUAACGAUACAACAGCUGUCUCGAUGAUUGGCUCAGUGAAAUUGGAAUGGCUGUGCAGAUACAGUCUACCUCUAGAUAGACGAGAAGACCCUAUGCAGCUUUACUGUUUCUAGUCAUUGCGUGUGAUCGGACCAACAGUAGGAAUAAGGUAGUAUUAUACGUAAUUGAAACACCUUUUUGAGUCUAUCACAUUGCUGGGGACAAUAGCGUCUUCCAUUUUACUUUGAAAUAAAGAAAAUGACUUAAUCUAUUUAUUAACCAGUGUUAAUUAUUCAAUAAUGGUAUAAAA